CUAAUGGGUCCAAAGACUCUUAAAACCUACCGUGCUCCCCUACGUGGAAAACAAGAAAGCCCUCCGGGGCAUAGGAAAUCUGAGAAGUUGAGAACUGCGCCCCGGCGCAUGACUAAAACAAAAAAUUA
rnacentral:misc_RNA from 1 species